rnacentral:rRNA from 1 species
AAACUCAAAGGAAUUGACGGGGGCCCGCACAAGCGGUGGAGCAUGUGGUUUAAUUCGAAGCAACGCGAAGAACCUUACCAGGCCUUGACAUGCAGAGAACUUUCCAGAGAUGGAUUGGUGCCUUCGGGAACUCUGACACAGGUGGUGCAUGGUUGUCGUCAGCUCGUGUCGUGAGAUGUUGGGUUAAGUCCCGCAACGAGCGCAACCCUUGUGUUUUAGUUGCAAACAGGUCAAGCUGUGCACUCUAGACAGACUGCCGUGGACAACACGGAGGAAGGUGGGGAUGACGUCAAAUCAUCAUGCCCCUUAUGAUCUGGGCUACACACGUGCUACAAUGGCCGGUACAACGGGCAGCGAAGGAGCGAUCCGGAGCGAAUCCUAAAAAGCCGGUCCCAGUUCGGAUUGCAGGCUGAAACUCGCCUACAUGAAGUUGGAGUUGCUAGUAAUCGCGAAUCAGAAUGUCGCGGUGAAUGCGUUCCCGGGUCUU